rnacentral:rRNA from 1 species
GACGAACGCUGGCGGCGUGCCUAAUACAUGCAAGUCGAACGCAGUGGGGACGGGUGAGUAACACGUGGGUAACCUCCCAUCAGAGGGGAUAACACUUGGAAACAGGUGCUAAACCGAUACUGAUGGAUGGACCCGCGUUGCAUUAGCUAGUUGGUGAGGUAACGGCGAACCAAGGUCACGAUGCAUAGCCGACCUGAGAGGUGGAUAGGCAACACUGGGACGUGGACACGGCCCAGAGUCCUACGGGAGGCAGAAGGAGGGAAUCUUCGGCAAUGGACGAAAGUCUGACCGAGCAACGCCGCGUGAGUGAAGAAGGUUUUCGGAUCGUAAAACUCUGUUGUUAGAGAAGCGGUAUCUAACCAGAAAGCCACGGCUAACUACGUGCCAGCCGCCGCGGUAAUAC